rnacentral:rRNA from 1 species
GACGAACGCUGGCGGCGUGCUUAACACAUGCAAGUCGAGCGGUAAGGCCCUUUCGGGGGUACACGAGCGGCGAACGGGUGAGUAACACGUGGGUGACCUGCCUCUAGCUCUGGGAUAAGCCUGGGAAGCUGGGUCUAAUACCGGAUAUGACCUCGCGGUGCAUGUUGCGGGGUGGAAAGCCUUGUGCGGCUAGGGAUGGGCCCGCGGCCUAUCAGCUUGUUGGUGGGGUGANGGCCUACCAAGGCGACGACGGGUAGCCGGCCUGAGAGGGCGACCGGCCACACUGGGACUGAGACACGGCCCAGACUCCUACGGGAGGCAGCAGUGGGGAAUCUUGCGCAAUGGGCGAAAGCCUGACGCAGCGACGCCGCGUGAGGGAUGACGG